UUCCAGACUCCUACGGGAGGCAGCAGUGAGGAAUAUUGGUCAAUGGCCGGAAGGCUGAACCAGCCAAGCCGCGUGAGGGAGGAAGGCGCAGAGCGUCGCAGACCUCUUUUGCCGGGGGACAAAAGGCCGGACCCGUCCGGUCCUGAGGGUACCCGGAGAAAAAGCAUCGGCUAACUCCGUGCCAGCAGCCGCGGUAAUACGGAGGAUGCGAGCGUUAUCCGGAUUUAUUGGGUUUAAAGGGUGCGCAGGCGGCACGGCAAGCCGGCGGUCAAAUCGCGGGGCUCAACCCCGCCCAGCCGUCGGAACUGCCGGGCUAGAGUGGGCGAGAAGUGCGCGGAAUGCGUGGUGUAGCGGUGAAAUGCAUAGAUAUCACGCAGAACUCCGAUUGCGAAGGCAGCAUACCGGCGCCCAACUGACGCUGAAGCACGAAAGCGUGGGUAUCGAACAGGAUUAGAUACCCGAGUA
rnacentral:rRNA from 1 species